rnacentral:ncRNA from 2 species
ACACACCUCUGCGGGAGCUCGCACCGAACUGCGGGCUGAGAGGGCGACGAGCUGUUACCCGGCCGGGUCGCCGACCGCCUGAACCUGACCGGGUAAUGCCGGCGUAGGGAGCCAGGUCCGAUGGCCUU